rnacentral:tRNA from 2 species
GGAAGGCAUUCGUAUCCGGUGGUGCGGCUGGGCUUCAAACCCAGUUGGUGCGGUCAGUCCGCGCUAGGUAGGUUCGACUCCUGCUGCCUUCCGCCA